GUGCCAGCCGCCGCGGUAAGACAGAGGGGGCAAGCGUUGUCCGGAAUUACUGGGCGUAAAGCGCACGCAGGCGGCCAGGCAAGUGGUGUGUGACACCGGACGGCUUAACCGUCCGACGCCAUGCCAGACUGCCCGGCUCGAGCCGUGCAGAGGUCAGCGGAAUUGCCGGUGUAGGAGUGACAUCCGUAGAGACCGGCAGGAACACCGAUGGGGAAGCCAGCUGACUGGGCACCGGCUGACGCUCAGGUGCGACAGCGUGGGGAGCGAACCGGAUUAGAUACCCGUGUAGUCC
rnacentral:rRNA from 1 species